UGUUGGGCUAGGAGGGGAGUUGGCGUUCCCUGUAUCACAAAUCGCAACUGGUGAUCUGAAGCCCGGGGGCGGCGCAGACGAACCGUGGACGUAGCAACCGUGGACGAUGAUACCUCGCUCCCAAGUGACUCAGGUUGGUGGAACGGAAUCCGGAGGGAAUCUGCUAACACCGCAAGCCGGGGAAUCAGGUGAGGCCAGGAAUGGAGCAGCCCAACUCGGAACUUUGGGUGCCUUGGGGUACCGGGGUUGAGAAGACGGAGGCAUUUUCGGAAGCGGUAACGAGCGUCCACCUCGGGCAUGUCCACUU
rnacentral:SRP_RNA from 1 species